rnacentral:lncRNA from 1 species
GGCACGUGGCAGUAAGUAUGGUUUCCGUGAGUAGCAUCCAGAAAAGCCAUGAACAAUGCAUUUAACAUAUGCUGGAAAGAGUUAUCAACCGUGGUGUAUUUAGUAAAGGUAGGGGGUGCUUCCAGCAGCUGUGGUCUUCAUUUGGACAAUUUUACCCCUUCUCCAUGUGUUGAUUUAGUCCACAAGUGAUGGGUCCAUGAUGGGCUUGGACCGAAGUCAUCA